rnacentral:rRNA from 1 species
GUCAGCUCGUGUCGUGGGAGUGUGGUUAAGUCCGCAACGAGCGCAACCCCUAUUGUUAGUUGCCAUCAUUCAGUUGGGCACUCUAGCGAGACUGCCGGUAAUAAACCGGAGGAAGGUGGGGAUGACGUCAAAUCAUCAUGCCCCUUAUGACCUGGGCUACACACGUGCUACAAUGGUUGGUACAACGAGUUGCGAGUCGGUGACGGCGAGCUAAUCUCUUAAAGCCAAUCUCAGUUCGGAUUGUAGGCUGCAACUCGCCUACAUGAAGUCGGAAUCGCUAGUAAUCGCGGAUCAGCACGCCGCGGUGAAUACGUUCCCGGGCCUU